GUCUGUCAUGUCCAGCCUGUGAAGAGCACGCUGGCUGAGCUGGCGAGAGGGGUGGGGGCGUCCUGGGGCUGCUUCUGCUCUGAUGAAGGCACCCACUGUCACUGUCCCGGCCCUCGCUGAGUGUUCCCGGACCCGUGGGCCCGCGUCUGUGCCAGGCCUUGGGGAGCUCCAGCCUCGGAGCCUCUUCCCGUUCUCAGACCUCAGUGCGAGGAGGAAAUCGGGUGCCUAGUGGGGCACUACCUGUCUGGAAGUAUUUUACACGAAGUUUAAGCCUUGAGAUUUCCUGGAGCAGGACCUCUGAAGUCACCAUCACAAAUGGCAGGCCCACACAAGGACUGAUUUACUUCUGACUCACCCAUGGCCUUCAGGCUUAGAGUUGGGGCCUUGUCGGAUUCCUCUCUCUUACCAACUCUGGGCUUUGACUCUGUUGUCCCUAAUGCCAUGCUGAUAAAUAAUUAAUAACUGGCUCUUCAUAAAAAAAAACAGUUUUGAUCUGUAGCACCUGCCAAUUCCCAUGGUGUAAACACUCCUGCCAUGGCUGACUUCAAGUUACCAACACAACAUCACUGAGUGUGGGAUUGGAAAAAGAUGCCCAUGGCUGGCUCUUAAGAGUCCUCUGAGCCUUGCUGGUUCUCCCUCACCUGCCAUUGAGGGGGCUGAUGGGUGCAACAGUCAUUCCUGAGGCUGCAAAGUUCUUUAAAGCAGAAGCAGCUGACUCUUGCUUAUGUUUUGCAGUACUUGCUGGGCUCUCAACUCCUCCAAGGUUUUGGCCUGGUAGUGCAUUCUUUGCUACCUGAUUUGCUCUUUUCUGCUUUAAAGAAGAUUGGAAAAAAAUUUUUUUUUUGAGACAGGGUCUCACUCUGUCACCUAGGCUGAUCGUGGCUCACUGCAUCCUCCACCUCUCAGGCUCAAGGGAUCCUCCUACCUCAGCCCCCCAAGUAGCUAAGACCACAGGUGUGCGCCACCACAUUAGGCUAGGUUAUUAUUAUUUUUUUUUUGUAUUUUUGGUAGUAGAGACGGGGUUUCUCUAUAUUGUCCAGGCUGGUCCUGAGCUCCUGGCCACGAGUGAGCCACCCACCUUGACCUCCCAAAGUGCUGGGAUUAUAGGCAUGGGCCACCAUGCCUGGCCAAUUGAAAUAUUUUAAUCCAGCUUUUCUAGUUGUGUUCAGUGGAAGAGUUGGUCCUAGUCACUAAUCUGCUACUUAUGGACAGAGACAUCUCCUAUUUUCUGUUGUAAGGACAGGAAAAAGCAGAAAAUAUAGAAAAGGAAAUAAAGAGCAACCAUCUCUCAAUAGUACUGCUGCCCAACAAGAACACUGCUGACAUUUGGAAACUGUUUUCCAAUUUGAUUCUUAUUGGAAAGCAUAACAACCAGCCAGGGCCUGUGCUGCUGGAGCGGGCAGUUAUGUGCAGGGAGACAGCUGGUUACGGCUGGCUCCUGGCCUCGACGGAGCUUCUCAGCCUCUUGGAGCCUCUGUCCCCUCAGCUGCUGAAGGAACACAUCUCCUGCACUUCUCAAGUUGCUGCCGGUGCGAAGGUGACUCCAGAUUCUGCAGUUUGGGCUCCGUAGCUGCUCAGCAAAUGUCAGCAGGUCCAGAAGCAAGGCUCCUCAGCUGCAGAGUGAAUGCAAAUGCCCCUUCUGCUCUCCUGCAGCUGCGGCAGGUGGAAGAGCUGUCGGGGGUGGGAAGGGGGCUUGGAGGGAUAAGGAUGGGCUGGGGAGGGCUCCCAAGGCAGUGGACACUGUGGGCUCUGGGGACUGCAUGGCUGUGGAGGGGGCAUGUGCUGUUGGGCUCCCAGCCUCUUGGGGUCCUCUCUGUGCCAAGAUAGAGCCUGUUACCCUCCCUGAGCAGGUGUGAGCAGACACCUGUCCCCUGCCCUGCAUGGGAAGUGAACGAUCCACUAAGUGGGGAGGUCAGGGUCAGAUCCCCGGCCUUCCCAUGCAGGAUGACUGCUCAGGCCCAGGACAGUGGGUGGUCAACAGAAACCCCAUCCCUGCCCAUAGAGGGUGCUUCCCAGUUCACAGUGACACAGCCUGGCCUGCUCCUCUUCCAGCCACCCAAGGCAAGACACAGAGCAGGAGGCUGAGGCUGGUGUGAGGGAAAGGGGGAUGCAGCAAGGGGAUACCUCAACCUUGCCCGAGCUACAGACAGGUGAGGACUUCUCCCUCACCUGGUGUUUUCCACUGCAUUCUGAAGAGCAGGUGACACCCACCCCAGGGUGGAUCCAGGAUGGAUCUCUGGGUUUCCUGCCAUCUACAAUGACCCUCCUCAUUUCCCCUGGCUAGCUGCCCCCUAGGAUGGAGAAUGCAUCAUGGUCACUGACACUUGGCGCCCUUUUCCAGCCUCAAUGGCCUGGCAGAGCCAGUGGGGACACAGCAAUAAUGUGGGUGGCAGUAAUAACAGCAGCUGAACCACCUGAGCACCAUCCUGACGAGGCAUAGCCUGAGCUCUGUGAACAGUGAAGUCCAUCUGGUCUCUCAGUGGCCUGAGAGUGACUCUAACUAUUAUCCUCAUUCUCUGAAGGAGGAAAACAAGGCAAGGGGAUUUAAAUAAUUUUUAAAGGUCAGAUACCUUCACAAAGGCUGAAGUGGGAGUCAGAUGAUAGUGUCUGGGUGGAGACCCCAUACUCUUACCCUCAACUCUGAGCCAUCUGCUAUACAACAUCUAUUUGCUGAGUGGAAGGUGUGUAGCCUGAACCAUGCUCACUUCUGGUCCAGAGCUCUUUCCUCAGGGCCCUGGGACAUUCACGUUUAGUGUACAGUGGUAUAUGUAUGCUGAAUUCCUACAUUAGGCCAGCCACAUAGUCAGCACUGAUUGCUAAAAGAAUAACUGAAUAAGGAUAAAUGCUUGAGGGGAUGGAUACCCCAUUCUCCAUGAUGCGAUUAUUUCACAUUCCCUGCUUGUAUCAAAACAUCUCAUGUACCCCAUAAAUAUAUACACCUACUAUGUACUCACAAAAAUUAAAAAUUAAAAAAGAUACAAGUUAAACAUCUGGCCAGUUAUAAUGAUAUGAAAAGUAAUAAGGACAAAAUAUAAAUAAAAGAUUAUAAGCAACAAUAGCAAAAAGCAUAAUUGGAUAAAAGGAAAAAAAAAUCCCAUUCCAUGAUGAAGAAACUAAGGUUCUAGGGAGCCAGGAAGUGGGGUCCGGGCUCCUGGCUGAGCUCUUAACCCAGAGCCCUAGCAGUUACAUUUUCCACAGAAGGACAGAAUGAGCACAUGGGAGAGGCUUACUUGAAGUCCCCUUGCCAUCAAGGGGCAAGGGUGGCACCUACCUCUCUUUGGGCAGGGCCCUGAUCCUGCUGGAUGGGGGCUGCCAGGGCUGCUGCUGAGCAGACUCCUAGGCUGAUUCCUGGACCUGAUUUUCAUUGACGCUGCAAAGACCUCAGCAGAGCGCCUUUGCGCCCUGAUGAGAUUGACACACAGCUCAAACACACUGCAUCCUUGUGGGGGUGGAGGAGAUGCACAGACCCUGGCAGAAUGCAAGAGAAGCCUGUUUAAUGUGUCGACAGGAAGUAUCAACCUGCAGCAGAAUUGCAAUGCAGUCUGUCCUGGGAGGCCAGGGGCUGGGCAGGCGGGGCAGGCGUUUGCCUUGCCUCGUGGGCCACUCCCAGGAUGACUCCUAGCCUGGCCAGGAUGAAGGCUUUGGCCAGCGUUGACGCUGUUUCCCAAUGCAGAGAUCACUCUGACACAGGCCAGCAUUGCCUCGGAGGUGGCCCAGAGCUGGGCGGGAGGGAGACAGGCAGAUAGCAGGGAAGAAUGAGCCAUCUCUGUCCCCUCAGCUGGGGUGCCCAGAUUCAGAGGUCUCAUGGUGAUGGCUGCCUUCCUGGACCUACUCCUGGUUGGGCUCAGAGACUGGUCCAGGGAAGGGCCUACACAGCACUCUACAGUGCAAGAGAUGCCGUCUUGGCCCUGGGGCCUUUGAGAGUCCGCCCCUCCAGAGGAGCUGGGGCCACAGGGUGCCCUGGCCGGGGAGUCAGGAGGCCUGCAGUGCCAGGGCCCUCUUGCUGGCCGUGGGGUGUGUGCCACUGUGAGCGAGCGGAAGUGUGUGCAUGUGUGAGUGGGUGAGAGUGUGUGUGUUGUGCAUUGAUGUGAGUGUGAGAGUGUGUGUGUCCCCGAGGAGGGGACAGAUGUCUAUGGGAGGGCUCCGCUCUGGACUGAGAGCACAAGUCUGUGAGUCAGGACCUCCCGGAGCCGUGGUCCGGGGCUGUGUGCUUGGGGUGGUGAGAGGCCCCUGGCACCUCCAGCGGCUCCCAGUCCUGUGUGGGUCCUGCAGCCUGUGGUGCACAGGGCAGUGGGGAAUGGUCCUGGGGGCCACACGAAGCCUUGGGGAAGUGCUGCAUUUCCAGGCUGCAGAGGGCUUUGGGGUGCCGACUGCUGAACGAGGGGCUCCCUGCACUGCGGUCACCCUGUGGCAGUGUCGGGAUGGGAGGACAGGGCCUUUGGGGGCUGCUGGGCCCUGCUCACCCUCCCUGGGCAGCCUGAGCCGGGAGGUCAGGUUGGGGGUGCUGGGCUCCCAGAUUCAGCCCCAGGAGGCGUCCGGGCUGCCAUGCUCACCCCGGCCCCGCCCGGAACAAGGGCUCAGAGGGAGAAUGAACGGCAGCCGCCUGGUUUGCACAUAAUUUGUUCUGGGGCAGAGUUGCGGCUGUUAAAAGCCUCGGUGAAAAAGCCUCUGGGAAUGUGACAGCCUGAGACAGGGAAAAUCAGCCCAGGGUCCCUCCUCGGGUUCACACUGCUGGAACCUCUGCAACCUGCCUGGCAAUUUGGAUGUCACCAAAAUCUGCCCUGCGGUUGGACGCUGGUGGCUGAGGGUGAGUCCACCGGGCCUGCUGAGGAGGAGAGCGGAGCAGGGCAUCAUGGGCAGGGGGGUGCUGGAGAGGGCUGGGGGGCAUGUGGGGAGCAGCUGGCCCCUCUGGUGGCCCAGGGCACCUCUGGAGAGGGAGAGGCCUGAAUGGGGGCUCCUGUCUCCACCCAAGGCUGUGGGGAGACCAGGACUCCCCACCAGUGAGGAGGGGCCAUUUUUGGAGCUGCCUGCUCUGCCGAGUGAGCUUGUGGCAGGCACAAAGUGGACAAACAGACAAGCAUCUGAGUGGUGGCUGCCCAGGCCUCCAGGCCCUGGGGGACAGCAGCUCCUCGCUCAGGAGGAAAUGCUGUCCCCUCUGGGCAGGGGUGUCUGUAUCUAAAGGAGUUGGGACACCUGGGCUCUGCCGGGGCUGGUGGCUGGGCUGGUCCGUGCCCCUCUUGGGGGUCAGACAGUGGCAGGGCCUGCAGAGCCUGGGUGUCCUUGUGGUGCUGGCAGGUUGCAGAGGGUGGUGCAUGAGUUUGCGGGAGGACCACAGCCGGCGCCCACACGGCAGACGUGGGUUCUCUCAUGUCAUGGCUUGAAGACGGCUCAAGGCGUGGGCAGGGCUGCUUUCUCCUGAGGCCUCUCUCCUUGGCCUACGGAUGGCCACCUUCCCUCUGUGUGCGUCCCAGUCUCCUCUUCUUACAAGGACCCCAGUCAGACUGUAUCAGACCCCACCCCAGUGACCUCAUUCCACCUUAAUAACCUCGAUAAAGACCCAAUCUCUAAAGGCAGUCGCACCCCGAGGGCCGCCUUCAGCAUAGGAAGUUGGGAAAACGUAAUUCAGCCCAGGAGAGGUGGGAAGUGGGCCAGGCACUCAGGGGCGGGGAUAUCCAGGAGGCCUGGCUUGACCUGGCCUUGCCGCAGGCAUCGCUGGUGGGCCCUCCUCAACCUCUGCCUGCAGGCUCAGGAAGUUUGUUGUGAAGCAAACAAUCCCUGCGCUCCGAAGGCGCUUCUUCAGGCCGAGAUCCAAAAAUCUGACCCCCAGAACCUCCAAUGACCAACUCUUUUUCCUCAUGAUGCCACCACCGUCCUCACCAUUAUUGUCAUCGGCGUCAUUGUCACCUCCAUUGAUUGAGCCCCUACCAGCUGCCAGGGCUGGGCAGGUUCCUUCUCACAGGUGGCCUCAUACAAUGCGCCAGCAGCCCUGGAGGUGGGGCAGCUGUGCCACUGCCCCAUGAGAGAACAAUCUGUCAUGAGUGGGUUCUGCCCAUGAGGACCCAGCCAAAGGGAGGUGGCCAGGAUCAGGCAGGGCCAGCACCAGAGCCUCAGGCUUGGGCCUAAGCCUACCACGGGGACCCAGGCCGCCCUCUCCACAGCUCAGGGUGAGGCUGGAUCUUCCUCGCUGGUGGGCACGCACGCAGGCGGGCAGGCUGAGAGGUGGGUGCUGGCCUGGUCUGCCAGGAAGGGUGGCCUCAGCUGCCCGCCCCAACCCUCACCAGUGGAAGAGAGGAACGAGGAGAGGUCAUGAAUGACUGGAACUGCCCUCCCGUGACCUGCCAGAUGACCAUCCAGGUUAAAUUGAGAUCUGAGUUUCAUAAAAGCAAAUUAAAUAGACAUACAUGUAUAUUUUGAUAAUUAAAAGUUUUGAACCAGCCAUUCACUCAAGGGUAGUUCUGGGGAAUUUGUGCCCAUGAGACCCUCCCCCUGGUGGGACAGAAGGAGCUAGGAGUGGGAGGCCAGGGGAGGCCUGUCUCCCUCAUCCCCCAUGUCCAGGGAAAGCUGUGUGGGCCUGGGCCAGCUCUCUGGCCCCAUGGGCACUCUGUGCCUGGUGACAGCAGAGGUCCUGCUCUUGGGAGGCUCUGACCCCCCACAGCGGGGCUGCUCUGGGGGAGUGCUGGGGAGCUGCGGUGUCCGGGGAGGGAGCUGGGACCUGCUCCCUUGUGCUGGUGGUGUACCUGCCUGGCACCUCCCUGGCACCAAGCGUCUCAUAGGACCCUGCAACAGUCCCGGCUGGGGAUGCUGCCUGCAGGUUUCAAUGGGGAAACUGAGGCUCAGAGGUGGGAUGGGACCUGCCACCCUGUGUGACUGGCAGGACAGAGAUGGGGCUGGAUUGGGCCCCAGCAUGGCUGGCCCUAAAGUCCCCUGCUUUCAUGCUCUGACCAUAAGGCUUUCCUCGUGGAGGUUGCUGGGGAGAUGAGUGGGGUUGUUGCACAGGCCUCCCGGGUUUAGGCCGCACCUGGGCAGGGACCUCCCAGCAGAGAUGGUCCCCCCAUUUGGUGUGGAGGGACCACAUGAGCAAGGCAGAGUAGGAGGUGC
rnacentral:lncRNA from 1 species